AUACGUAGGGUGCGAGCGUUGUCCGGAAUUACCGGGCGUAAAGAGCUCGUAGGUGGUUUGUCGCGUCGUCUGUGAAAUUCCGGGGCUUAACUCCGGGCGUGCAGGCGAUACGGGCAUAACUUGAGUACUGUAGGGGAGACUGGAAUUCCUGGUGUAGCGGUGAAAUGCGCAGAUAUCAGGAGGAACACCGGUGGCGAAGGCGGGUCUCUGGGCAGUAACGGACGCUGAGGAGCGAAAGCAGGGGUAGCGAACAGGAUUAGAUACCCUGGUAGUCCAUGCCGUAAACGGUGGGCGCUAGGUGUAGGGGUCUUCCACGACUUCUGUGCCGUAGCUAACGCAUUAAGCGCCCCGCCUGGGGAGUACGGCCGCAAGGCUAAAACUCAAAUGAAUUGACGGGG
rnacentral:rRNA from 1 species